UCGAGAAUCUUCGGCAAUGGGCGCAAGCCUGACCGAGCGACGCCGCGUGCGGGAUGAAGGCCUUCGGGUUGUAAACCUGCUGUCAGUGGGGAGGAAGGCUCCGUGAAGAGCGGAGUUUGACCUAUCCGCAGAGGAAGUCCGGGCUAAGUUCGUGCCAGCAGCCGCGGUAAGACGAACCGGACAAACGUUAUUCGGAAUCACUGGGCUUAAAGGGUACGUAGGCGGCAGGGCAAGUUGGGUGUGAAAUCCCUCGGCUCAACCGAGGAACUGCGCCCAAAACUGCCUUGCUUGAGGGAGACAGAGGUGAGCGGAACUCGCGGUGGAGCGGUGAAAUGCGUUGAUAUCGCGGGGAACACCAGUGGCGAAAGCGGCUCACUGGGUCUCUUCUGACGCUGAGGUACGAAAGCUAGGGGAGCGAACGGGAUUAGAUACCCCGGUAGUCC
rnacentral:rRNA from 1 species